GGAUCUAAAAUUGGGGAAAGACGACAUGCACAUAGAAGUUACAUUUUAAAAAUCUAUAUAGUGUAGGAAAGAAGGAAGCCCUGAGGCUGAAGCAGUGACUAUGCAACUCUUCUUACAGAAGCCAUGUUCAGGAGACCUCAUGCCCUUUUGCAGACCCUCAUUCACUUUUUUCCCCUCACCCCUACUCAGAAUCAGAGCUAAUUUUUCUUAGGAAAGAAUCUCUUUCCAGAAGUGAGGCGGAUACAAUGCUUUGCAUUUUUCAGAUGAGAAAGCUGUGAGUCACAGUUGAGUAAUUUGUCCACAGUGACACAGUGUAUCUAAUAAGUGGUAGAGAGAAACAAGUAGGAGACAGAGACAGUCAUUUGACAGAAUCUCCCUUCCCUUGAACCCUUGUGUCAAGAGCUUCUGGGAUCCUACUUUCAACACUGGUAGGCUGGACUGCUUUUGGCUGAGUAUUCCUGCCUUCUCUGCAGGGGAUUAUGUUCCAAGAACCUCAGUGGAUGCCUGAAGUCUCAGAUAGCUGGGACAUGGAUGAAGCUGGAAACCAUCAUUCUCAGCAAACUAUCACAAGAUCAGAAAACCAAACACCGCAUGUUCUCACUCAUAAGUGGGAGCUGAACAAUGAGAACACAUGGACACAGGGAGCGGAACAUCACACACUGGAGCCUGUGGGGGGUGGGGCGCUGGGGGAGGAAUAACAUUAGGAGAAAUACCUAAUGUAGGUGACGAGUUGACGGGUGAACACCACCAUGGCACAUGUAUACCUAUGUAAGAAAACUGCACAUUCUGCACAUGUAACCCAGAACUUAAAGUAUAAUUUAAAAAAAAAACCUAAAUAAAUGUAUAAAGCAAAAAAAAAAAGAUUAUGUCCUUAAAAUUGUGUCACACUAAACAAUAAAGUUUCUAGAAGAAUACAUAGGAAUGUAUCGUCAGGAAACUGGAGUAAGCAAAGGCUUCGUUAGCAGGACACUGGGGAAACAAUUAAUUGGACUUCUUUAAAAUUAAGAACUUCUGUUCACCUAAAGGUAUCAUAAAAGAGUGAAAAUGUAACUCAUGAGUUGGGAGAAGAUAUAUACAUCCAGGCAAAAUUAUUGAAUUUAGAAUAUACUGUAUCCAAAAUAUACUCAUACAGUAUCCAGAAAUACUUUAAAACUUAAUAGGGAAAAGACGAAGUCUUUUGUUCAUUUAUGGGCAAGAGACUUGAUAGAUCCUUGAUAAAGGUGAAUAUCCAAAUGGGCAGUAAGCAUAUAUAAACUUGCUCAACACUACUCAAAUUUAAACCCCAAUGAAAUGCCACUACCACCACCAGAAUGGCUAAAAUUAAUAUAACGGAUAAUAGCAAGUAUUGGCAGGAAUGUGGUGCAACUGGAAUUCUCAUAUACUGCUGGUGGUAAUAUAAAUUAGUAUAGCCACUUUGAAAAUGUGUUUGGCCUUAUCUUCUAUAGUUGAUAAAAACUACAAAUUUCAUCUACUCUAUGACAAUAAUUUCACUCCUAGGUAUAGAUGCAAAAAAUAUUAGUGCACAUGUCUGCUAAAACACAUGUAUAAGAAUGUUUACAUCAGCUUUAUUUAUCAUAGCCAAAGACUGAACAACCCAUAUGUCUACUGACACCAGAACGGAGAAACACAUUUUUAUACAUUCAUACAAUGGCAUACAUACUACACAUUAAAAGAAUGAAGAAUUCCUACCUUGAACAACAUAGGUGAGUCUCAGGUUGUAGAGUGAAAGAAGCCAGACACAAGGAGUACAUUCUGCAUGAUGUUAUUUAUAUGAAGUUUAAAAACAGGCAAAACAAGUUCAUAGUUAUAAAGGUCAGAAUACUUUUUUCCUCUGUUGGGUGAGGGUGAAGGGUGUUGGUUAUUGACUGGGAAGGGAUGGGGGUGAACCUAUGGAGUGAUGAAAAUGUUUCAUAUUUUGAUUGGUGUGAUAGUUAUGUGGUAUAUACAUGUGUAAAAUUAAUUCAUCUGUACAAUUAAGAUUUGUGCAUUUUAUAUGUUAAUCUCAAUUUAAAAAGCAAGUAAUCAACCAAACAGCACUCUGUCAUGGCAAAUGGAAAUAUACUUGUAACUAUACCAGUUUCCUGAAUAAGAGUUUAUAUGAUCUAUCCAUUUUAUAUUAAUAAUUAAGGUCCAAGGAAAAUAUUUGUCUCUCCUGACACUCUGGUAAGAUUCCCUUUAUCAGAUAAUAAAACCAUAUAUCCUCUCAUGUCUCACCUGUGUGAGAAAGCACACACGAA